UACAGAGGUCCCGAGCGUUGUUCGGAUUCACUGGGCGUAAAGGGUGCGCAGGUGGGUUGGCAAGUUUGAUGUGAAAGCCCCGGGCUUAACCCGGGAAUGGCAUUGAAUACUGCUGAUCUGGAGGAUCGGAGGGGGGACUGGAAUUCUUGGUGUAGCAGUGAGAUGCGUAGAUAUCAAGAGGAACACCAGUGGCGAAGGCGAGUCCCUGGACGAUACCUGACACUGAGGCACGAAAGCUAGGGGAGCAAACAGG
rnacentral:rRNA from 1 species